rnacentral:misc_RNA from 1 species
GGAGAUUGUUGAAUACCACCAGCUGACCAUGCAGGAUGUUAUAUACCUGGAUGAGGGCACAGAAGAAGUCACUGAAGUUUACCCCAUUAAGCAGCUUCCUGCAGCAUCCAAUCUCAAUGCCGUUUCUCCGUUACCGCCUCAGCCAUUGUUGUCUUCAAACCGACCCGGAGUAGGAGUUGACAAGAGUUCACAAAUGACUCAGAUUGUUCCUACUUGCCCUUUGCCCCCAUCUGAUCUGAGGGGAAUCUCCUAAAGGUUUGCAUAAUCAAGUUC